rnacentral:rRNA from 1 species
UACGUAGGGUGCGAGCGUUACUCGGAAUUACUGGGCGUAAAGCGUGCGCAGGCGGUUGUGUAAGUCAGAUGUGAAAUCCCCGGGCUCAACCUGGGAAUUGCAUUUGAGACUGCACGGCUAGAGUGUGUCAGAGGGGGGUAGAAUUCCACGUGUAGCAGUGAAAUGCGUAGAGAUGUGGAGGAAUACCGAUGGCGAAGGCAGCCCCCUGGGAUAACACUGACGCUCAUGCACGAAAGCGUGGGGAGCAAACAGG